CCUACGGGGGCGCAGCAGUGGGGAAUAUUGGACAAUGGGCGAAAGCCUGAUCCAGCCAUGCCGCGUGUGUGAAGAAGGCCUUCGGGUUGUAAAGCACUUUCAGUGGGGAAGAAAGCCUUGGGGCUAAUACCCUCGAGGAAGGACAUCACCCACAGAAGAAGCACCGGCUAACUCCGUGCCAGCAGCCGCGGUAAUACGGAGGGUGCGAGCGUUAAUCGGAAUUACUGGGCGUAAAGCGCGCGUAGGCGGUCUGAUAAGCCGGUUGUGAAAGCCCCGGGCUCAACCUGGGAACGGCAUCCGGAACUGUCAGGCUAGAGUGCAGGAGAGGAAGGUAGAAUUCCCGGUGUAGCGGUGAAAUGCGUAGAGAUCGGGAGGAAUACCAGUGGCGAAGGCGGCCUUCUGGACUGACACUGACGCUGAGGUGCGAAAGCGUGGGUAGCAAACAGGAUUAGAUACCCCAGUAGUC
rnacentral:rRNA from 1 species